GCGCCGGUGGUGUAAUGACGCAGAGCAUUCCCGCCCGGUUAGAGGGAGGUGCGGGUUCGAGUCCCGCCUGGCGCU
rnacentral:tRNA from 1 species